UACGUAGGUGACAAGCGUUGUCCGGAUUUACUGGGCGUAAAGAGCGUGUAGGCGGCCAAACAGGUCCGUUGUGAAAACUGGAGGCUCAACCUCCAGACGUCGACGGAAACCGUGUGGCUAGAGUCCGGAAGAGGAGAGUGGAAUUCCUGGUGUAGCGGUGAAAUGCGCAGAUAUCAGGAAGAACACCAAUGGCGAAGGCAGCUCUCUGGGACGGUACUGACGCUGAGACGCGAAAGCGUGGGGAGCGAACAGG
rnacentral:rRNA from 1 species